ensembl:snRNA U6 U6 spliceosomal RNA
GCGCUCACUUCCGCAGCACAUAUACGAAAAUUGGAAUGAUACAGAGAAGCUUGGCAUGGCCCCUGCGCAAGGACGACACACAAAUUCGUGAAGCGUUCCAUGUUUUU